CCUACGGGAGGCAGCAGUGGGGAAUAUUGCACAAUGGGGGAAACCCUGAUGCAGCGACGCCGCGUGAGUGAAGAAGUAAUUCGUUAUGUAAAGCUCUAUCAGCAGGGAAGAAAAUGACGGUACCUGUGUAAGAAGCCCCGGCUAACUACGUGCCAGCAGCCGCGGUAAUACGUAGGGGGCAAGCGUUAUCCGGAUUUACUGGGUGUAAAGGGAGCGUAGACGGCAGUGCAAGUCUGGAGUGAAAGGCGGGGGCUCAACCCCCGGACUGCUCUGGAAACUGUACGGCUGGAGUGCAGGAGAGGUAAGUGGAAUUCCUGGUGUAGCGGUGAAGUGCGUAGAUAUUAGGAGGAACACCAGUGGCGAAGGCGGCUUACUGGACUGUAACUGACGUUGAGGCUCGAAAGCGUGGGGAGCAAACAGGAUUAGAUACCCCGGUAGUC
rnacentral:rRNA from 1 species